rnacentral:lncRNA from 1 species
CGAACCAGCACGAGUGUAAAUACAUUCUAGACUACCUGGAGUACUCGUCUCGAAGAAACUGCGACAGUACAAUUUUCUAACGGCUCCUAGAGCUAAAUCAGGCAGUUUAUACAGGUGACAGGUCCAAAUCGCAGGUUUUCUCCUAAUUCAAUUUUCAAGUCCAACAUGUAUAAUCUACUUAAUUUAUAAAACAUGCUCCAAAAUUCAGAUUUCACAAUCUACAAUUAAUCCAUGAAUUUGAGCUAACAUUAAUUACCGAAAUCAAAAUCUAUACAUGUCGACCAAUAAGAACUUAGGAGUAAAGCCGAUGUAACCCACCUCGCACGCAAAUCCCCGGCAGCGAAACACUCUCACAGCUGUGGCUCCACCUGCUGGGUCGAUCGUAGUACUUCGAUCUCAAGAAUCGCGCUAACUCCAAGCUCUACACCAACCAAUCACCGAUUCAGUCCAGAAUUUGCAGCAGUAGAGUAGGAAUGAGAUUCGACCAAGCUAACCUUCACCAAAUCUGGCAAGUGAGGGCUUCGUGGAUUCCUCUCGAAGUUCCGAAUCCAACGAACCAAGUCUCGUCGAAAUCCGAUGCUCCUACGUCGCGUACGAGCCAAAACACCGACAGUAGACGCAGAAAUCUUAGAACCAGCACGACAUCAAGGAUGGCGAAAAUCCGCACUCGCCCGGCCUCCUCGCAGCAACACGACGUCGAAAAUAAGCUCGAGCGGCUCCGCGGCACGCCGUCGACGACGAAUCCGAGCUUCGCGGCUACCUCUACGCGGCUCCUCCGCUUCGGCUCUCCACUCCACACGAAAGAGAGAAAGAAAAACUAAUUAGAGAGGUUUAGGUUGCUUCCCUUAAUUAAAUGCAUGGAUAACUAUGCAUGGGGGCACGUGGCACCCACCUAUAUAUAUAUGUAUAUACAUGGGGCAUGUGGCAUCCAUAUAUAUAUAUAUGGAUGUAUAUUUAAAGGAUACUACAUCCUCCCCCACUACAAUAAGUUUCGUCCUCGAAACUCAAACAUACCUUUGCUCAGGCAUCAAACAAAAAGGGAUAGGCCUCCCUCAUCACCGUCUCAGACUCCCAAGUCGCCUCCCGCUCAUCAUGAUUAUUCCACUGCACUUUCACAUACGGGAUGACCCGACUGCGCAAUUCUUUCGUCUCCCGAGCAAGAAUCCGCAACGGUCGCUCCUCAUAUCUCAGAUCCUCGCCAAUCUCAAGUGGAGUGAAGUCAAUCACAUGAGAGGGAUCGAAAACGUAUCUCCUCAAUGCUGAGACGUGAAAAACAUCAUGGAUGCCAGCAAGUCGCGGGGAUAGAGCUAUCCUGUAAGCCACCGGUCCGAUACGCUCCAAUACCUCGAAAGGGCCAACAAAACGUGGACUAAGCUUCCCACGUACUCCAAAUCGGCGUAUCCCUCUGGACGACGAGACUUUGAGAAAAACAUGAUCUCCAACCUGAAACUCCAAGUCUCAUCUCCUAGUAUCGGCGUAACUCCUCUGUCGGCUCUGUGCUGUCAAAAGGUGUCGUCGAACGACUCUCACCUUUUCCUCAGCCUCAAGUAGAAUCUCUGGUCCAAGUGUCUUCCGCUCUCCCACAUCACUCCAAAAUAAGGGGGAUCGACAUCUGCGUCCAUGCAACGCCUCAAACGGAGCCAUCUGGAUGCUCGCUUGAUAGCUGUUGUUGUACGCAAACUCAACCAGUCUCAAAUGUCGAUACCACCCUCCUCCAAAGUCCAGGACACAUGCCCUCAGCAUGUCCUCUAGAGUCUGAAUGGUCCGCUCUGACUAACCAUCUAUCUGUGGAUGAAACGCCGUGCUAAAAUGUAGCUGUGUACCCAAGGCGGUCUGAAGACUCCUCCAAAACUGGGAUACAAACCUCGGGUCUCUGUCUGAUACAAUCGACACUGGCACGCCGUGCAGCCUAACGAUCUCAUCCAAGUAUAGCUGCGCAAGUCUCUCCCUGGACCAGGUAGUCUGAACCGGUAGGAAGUGAGCAGACUUGGUCAGUCUGUCCACUAUCACCCAAAUCGCGUCGUAGCCACCCUGCGCUCUAGGCAAUCCAACGACGAAGUCCAUCGUGAUGUGCUACCACUUCCACUCGGGAACUGGCAGACUCUGAAGCUUGCCAGCAGGCACCUGAUGCUCGGCCUUCACCUGUUGGCAAGUCAAACACUGAGCCACAAAUCUGCCAAUGUCCCUCUUCAUUCCAGGCCACCAGAACCGUGCCUUAAGAUCCUUAUACAUCUUGGUUCCCCCAGGGUGAACCGUAUAAGGGGAACAAUGAGCCUCUCUCAGAAUAUCCGCUCGAAUCUCCGGAUCCACAGGCACACACAGUCGGUCCCUGUACCGUAGUACUCCCGAACUGUCCAAAGCAAAACCCUCAGCCUGCCCCCUGUCUAGCUGCUCUCUAAUCCUCAACAAGUACGGAUCUCCACUCUGUUUCUCUCGGAUCCUAUCCAACAGAGUGGGCUGUAAAACUAGAGACGUCAGCCUCGCCGUAGACCCAGGGGGUACUAUCUCGAGUCCCAGCCGCUGUAGCUCCUCGAGUAGGGGUCUCUGCUCAGUAAUCCUCAAACUCAGGCUCUGCACUGACUUCCUGCUCAACGCAUCUGCCACCACAUUCGCCCUGCCGGGAUGAUACUGAAUACUAAUGUCAUAGUCCUUCAGUAACUCCAACCACCGGCGCUGCCUCAGAUUCAGCUCCCUCUGUGUGAACAGAUACUUGAGACUUUGAUGAUCGGUGAAAACCUCGCAGUGCUCGCCGUACAAGUAAUGCCGCCAGAGCUUCAAAGCAAAAACCACCGCGGCAAGCUCCAAGUCAUGCGUAGGGUAAUUCUUCUCAUAAUCCUUUAACUGCCGUGAAGCAUAAGCAAUCACCCUACCAUGCUGCAUCAGCACGCAACCAAGUCCACUGUGCGAUGCAUCACUGUAGAUCACGAAUCCAUCCCCCAUCACCGGAAGGGCAAGGAUAGGAGCCGACGUCAACCUCAGUCUCAACUCGUCAAAGCUCCUCUGACAGUCGUCGCUCCAGACAAAACGAAUCCCCUUCCGCGUCAAGCGUGUGAGGGGUGUGGAAAGCUUCGCAAAGCCUUCCACAAACCGACGGUAAUAUCCUGCCAGUCCCAGGAAGCUCCGUACCUCAGUCACCGUCGUCGGUCUAGGCCAAUCUCGAAUCGCCUCAAUCUUCUUCGGGUCCACUGCUACGCCCUCGGCUGAAAUCACGUGGCCCAAGAAAGCGACCUCCCGUAACCAAAACUCGCACUUCUUUAACUUGGCAUACAACUUCUUCUCUCGCAGAAGCUGUAGCACAAUCCUCAAGUGCUCCUCAUGCUCAGCAUCGCUCCGGGAGUAAAUCAAGAUAUCAUUAAUAAAGACUACCACAAACCUAUCCAAGAACGGCUUGAACACUCUGUUCAUCAAAUCCAUGAAUGCGGCAGGGGCAUUCGUCAAUCCAAAAGGCAUCACCGUAAACUCAUAAUGCCCGUACCGAGUCCGAAAAGCCGUCUUGGAAAAUCCUCGGCCCUCACCCUCAGCUGGUGGUAACCUGACUGGAGAUCAAUCUUCGAGAAGACAUAAGAUCCCUGCAGCUGAUCAAACAAAUCAUCAAUGCGCGGCAAGGGAUACUUAUUCUUGAUGGUCACUUUAUUCAGCUCCCGGUAAUCCACACAUAACCUGAGCGAACCAUCCUUCUUCUUUACAAAUAGCACUGGCGCUCCCCAAGGCGACACACUGGGUCUCACAAACCCUUUAUCCAUCAAAUCCUGAAGCUAUGCCUUUAGCUCUCUCAGCUCUGCCGGUGCCAUCCGAUAAGGUACCGUUGAGAUUGGUGCAGUUCCAGGAACUACAUCAAUCACAAACUCAAUCUCCCUCUCCGGCGGCAACGUAGUCAACUCAGGGAAAAAUACAUCUGGAAACUCGCGGACUACUGGGAUGUCCUCAAGUCCCGGCGCCGCCGUUGGUACCUCCACAAUAGUCGCUAGGAAAGCGAUACACCCGCUACUCAGCAUCUGUCGAGCCCUCGCCGAAGAUAUCCAGGUGGCAAAUAGCGUGCUCCUGCAGCCUCUGAAAGUGAACUCCUCCUGACCUGGCUCGCGGAACGUCACCGUCCUCGCUCCACAGUCGAUCGUAGCGUAGUACCGCGCCAGCCAAUCCAUACCGAGCACGACGUCGAAGUCCUGCAGCUGCCCUAACACCAACAAGUCUGCAGGCAUGACACACGAGUCCAACUGCACCGGACACGACAAACAACACUCCGCAACCAGUAAAACAUGGUCCGGGAUCUGCACCUCUCGUGCCUGUGACAAUGCCCCUAACUCUAGCCCAUGCAACAAUGCAAAUGCUCGGCUAACAAAGGAAUGCGAUGUACCAGUGUCGAAAAGAGUGCGAACUCUAAUGCCAGAAAUCAAAGUGAUACCUGCCACCACUCGGUCGGCUGCUGUAGAGUCCUCCACCUGAGCUGCAUAGACUCUACCACUCGGAGCCUGCUGUCGAAGCUCACCCUGUCGCGGCAUGGACGACCUAUCCUCCUGGCGGUAACUCGGUGCUGCUCUGUAAGUCUGCUGAGGUGCUGGUGGAGCUGAAGCUGAUGAUGGUGCUGGAGAUGCUGCUCGAGGACAAGCUGCCCUCAUGUGUCCCGGCUGACCACAUCCGUAGCACCGGCCCUCCCUCUGCUCACACUGUCUGGGCCAGUGUGGUCCUCCGCAGAUCACACACUGCGGCGCCCUCUCAGGCUGUCCUCUCUUACGGGAGUCUCUGGAUCGCUGACGUCCUGAGAACCCACGACCCUGAGAACGCGAUCGUGGAGGUCUCGGCGGACGCCUGCUACUCGAUUGGCCUCCGUCGUCUGGAGCUGGGCGCUUCCUGUCCUGAGUCUGUCCCGGCUCCUGAGCCCUCUCUCGCAGUGACACCUCUCCUCUCUCCUCCCAUAGUGCUUGCUCAAUGGACGCGUCCAAAGUCCUCGACCUCUGCGCCCUAACGAACCUGAACAGGUCGGGUCUCAAACCCUGCUCGAACAAGUAGACCCUAUGUGCCUCGUCUCUGGCCACGAACGGAACACAGUUCAGGAGUCUAGUAAACUCCCGAACAUACUCCUGAACUGUCCGCUCGCCCUGCUGGAUCCUCUUCAAAUCCUCCUCAACCUUCUGUUUCAUGCUGUUCGAAAAAUACAUCCCAUACAGCAUUCCACAGAACUCAUCCCACCUCAGCUGCGCUGCCUCCAGUCUCUGGUCUCGCCUCACUCUCCGCCACCAGUCACGUGCAUCACCUGACAAACAGUGUACUCCCAAAGGUACCUGCUCCCCCUCUGGAACGUACAGAUCCUCGAAUAACCUCUUCAUAGCACUGACCCAACCCUCAACAACCCAGGCCUCAGUGCCUCUACCAUCGAAGAUCGGUGGAUCAAAUCGGCGGAAACGAGUUAACCUCUCCGUCCACCGCUCCUGCUCGGCCUCAGUCAAUGGUACAGGCCCCCUGGCAGGCGCAACUGGCGCUAUAGGAAUCUCCACCGGUGGGGGCAUAGCUGCGGCUGGAGCUGACGCUGGAGUAGUCGGGAGUGGAACAGUCUGCUCUGGUACACUCGGUGCUGAACUCGGUGACUGAGCUAUCCUCUCACACAACCUCUGCAACAACUCUCCCUGCUGCCUCGUCACCUCAGUCAGGGCAGCCAACUGUGCACUCAGAUCAGGGGGUGCGCUAGCCUCAGGUCGCGCACUCGGCUCUCCAACAGGGGGUGCACUAGCCUCCGGUCUGUCCCUCUGCUCCUGCCGAGCACUCUGCUCCAUCUGCUCAGAUCUCUCAGAAGGUCCCGCACGAUCCCGCAACGACGGUCGACCUCGGCGACGAUACAUAGCUGAAAAGAAACAAGUCGGGGUCAGAUACACGCAACACUCUAGACCCAAUCAACGAAACUCGGGAAGGCGGUCCCUGUUUUCCUCCAAAAUUAUGUCGUCUGCAGCCAACAUAAUUUUUCAGGCCAAAACAGGAACUCCUUCAGUCACUCACUCCACUCUAGGAGGAAUUAGAACAAAUAAUCAUUGACCUUCGCAAUUAAAUGACGCCUCUCGCGUCUUGCUUCCUAAGGUUUGCCAACUUAGGGUUUCCUAGGUCCCAACGACCUAUAGCAAAGCUCUGAUACCAACUUAAUCUGUCACGCCCCGGAUAUCUCGUUCCCCGGGCACGACGACAAAUCCGCCGUAUACAAAGAAAUAUCCCUUGUAUACGAAGCGUCAAAGUACCUGUAGAAUACGAUACUACAAACAGUAGCAUAGAGCUACUAAAAAAAACCUAAAUAACUGAGUUUCAUAUACAUAGCUAGAAUCCAAAAUACAAGGUUACUCGCACUGGCGAGUUAAACAACUAUGUACAUAAACUCCAAAACAACAACUACCUGCAGUAGUGGAAAGCCUCUAGCUCUGACUAUCGGGUAGGGCUCUAGCUCGCAACGCCCUUGCCUCGAUCCUGGUCGGCGGAAGAUGCAGCAGCCGGCACCUGUGGCUCUGCAAAACAGGAGUAACAACUGGGCGUGAGAACUACUGUAAAAACAGGUAGUCCUCAGUGGGUGCCGCCCAAAAUAACAUCGGUCUACCCACUAAGUCUACAGAAGGGAGCAAAAAUAGUAGGAAAAGCAGGAAGUACACUCUAUCGCUAUCAAUCACUACGCCAUCAUGCUCUACACUAACCAACUGUAGGAAAUGUCAAAUCUGACCCAAUCCAAUCGGGACUGUAAACAUACCCGUCCUUGGGACUGUGAAUACACCCGUCCCUGCCCCGUUGCGACUAUCCAGCUACCCCCACACUAACUGGUCUGUGGAGAGCAAGUCCAACUGGCAUGAGCGACACCAACGCGAAAGCACAAAGCCUGACUCCGGAGUGGCACUCGUGGGCGCUACCCAACCGAGUAUGCAGCGUAUCUCUGUCGAGCUCAAUCAGGCUCCAACUAGCCAAAGUCAAGUAAUCGACUCAAACUGAUCUAACAACCAACAGGUAACGUGCCCUCGGCACAGUCUGACGCCAAAAAGGCGAUACGGGUCGACGGCACCUAACAGUCCGAAAAAACCUGAACGACCCUGUAAAAAUCCACUUGGCGAACCAGCACGAGUGUAAAUACAUUCUAGACUACCUGGAGUACUCGUCUCGAAGAAACUGCGACAGUACAAUUUUCUAACGACUCCUAGAGCUAAAUUAGGCAGUUUAUACAGGUGACAGGUCCAUAUCGCAGGUUUUCUCCUAAUUCAAUUUCAAGUCCAACAUGUAUAAUCUACUUAAUUUAUAAAAUGCUCCCAAAAUUCAGAUUUCACAUCUACAAUUAAUCCAUGAAUUUGAGCUAACAUUAAUUACCGAAAUCAAAAUCUAUACAUGUCGACCAAUAAGAACUUAGGAGUUAAGCCGAUGUAACCCACCUCGCACGCAAAUCCCUGGCAGCGAAACACUCUCACAGCUGUGGCUCCACCUGCUGGGUCGAUCGUAGUACUUCGAUCUCAAGAAUCGCGCUAACUCCAAGCUCUACACCAACCAAUCACCGAUUCAGUCCAGAAUUUGCAGCAGUAGAGUAGGAAUGAGAUUCGACCAAGCUAACCUUUACCAAAUCUGGCAAGUGAGGGCUUCGUGGAUUCCUCUCGAAGUCCUGAAUCCAACGAACCAAGUCUCGUCGAAAUCCAAUGCUCCUACGUCGCGUACGAGCCAAAACACCGACAGUCGACUCAGAAAUCUGCAGCAGUAGCACCCGAGCUCUAAAUUGAUGGAAUUGAAGUAAUUGGAGGAAUGCCCACUGAUAAAGCAUUUCAAAAAAAAAAAUACCUUAGAACCAGCACGACAUCAAGGAUGGCGAAAAGCCGCACUCGCCCGGCCUCCUCGCAGCAACACGACGUCGAAAAUAAGCUCGAGCGGCUCCGCGGCACGCCGUCGACGGCGAAUCCGAGCUUCGUGGCUACCUCUACGUGGCUCCUCCGCUUCGGCUCUCCACUCCACACGAAAGAGAGAAAGAAAAACUAAUUAGAGAGGUUUAGGUUGC